GCCCAAUGCUCAGGUCCAGGGAUGAGGGGCUCCUUGCUGACAUGCUGGUGCUAAGCCAGAACUGGCAGACUAAGCAGGGGAUAUAGCAGGGGGAGGAGAUACUCUGUCACCGCUCAGACCCUUCACUACCCUUCAGCUAGUCUCCAGAAGCACCCCAGGCCAGGAACUGAGCAGGACUUCUCCUGUAUUACUAUGCUUUAAAUCACAGCUGCUAAUCAAAAUUUUGGAGGCAAAGCAGAAAUACCAAAAUAUGGACACAACAAAUAAGAAUGAAUUUAGGCUGGUAAAUCAGGGAGUCAAAAUGGAUGGUGGGGUCAUUUCCAGGAGGAAGGUUCAAAAUUGUUUAAAAGGGCUCCAGUACCCAUGCUCCUUCAGUUGCUCUGCUUUGUUUCUCCAUCUCCAUCCUCAGCGGUGAAUUGGCUUCUCCCGCCCUGCAGAAAGAUGUGCUCUUGCUGCUCUGGAUGUCAUGGCACUGAUGAGACCAUCUGCUAUGUGCAGCCCGUCUGCUGUGAGCCGGUCUACAUCCAGAGGUCUUUGGAGUCGUGCUGCCAGCCCUGUGGCUCUUGCUGCGGCUCCUGCUGCGGGGGGUCAAGAUCCUGCCCCCGGGUGGUGAUCCAAAGACGGCCCAUGCCGGUGUGCUGCCCCCCACUGCAAUACUCAGCCCCCAUGCAUCAGUGCUGCUUGCCCCUGAAGAAGUGCUGAGCCUGCAAACAGCAGCGCAAGCUGCUCUUCAAGUUGUCAACACAGCAGCUGAAGCCAUAGGAACAACCUGCCAAUUCCUUUCUGGACCAUGUGAUGCUGGAUGAAGUGCCUCAGGCUUUUUCUUUUGUUUCUAAUCUUGCAGCAUCUUUCUCUACCAAGGUGUGUGACCGCACCCCCCCAACCCCCUUUUGAAGAUGUUACCAACUUGUAUAAGUGUAAAGUAUUCUCAACGUGUGUUAAUCCUGCUGUUAAUUUUGGUGCAUAGGAAACAGAAUACCCUAUGCUGUUAAUGCUUCAUUUGCUAUUUUCUUGCUCCGUUUUCCAACAGUACACAAUAAAACUGGCAAUUCAUGACAA